UCCGUAGGUGGAUCAAUCAGUCAGAGGUGAAAUCCUGCAGCUUAACUGUAGAACUGCCUUUGAUACUGUUGAUCUUGAGUCAUUAUGAAGUGGUUAGAAUGUGUAGUGUAGCGGUGAAAUGCAUUGAUAUUACACAGAAUACCGAUUGCGAAGGCAGAUCACUAAUAAUGUACUGACACUGAGGGACGAAAGCGUGGGGAGCGAACAGGAUUAGAUACCCUGGUAGUC
rnacentral:rRNA from 1 species